CCGGCUCCUCCUGUCCACAUCGACCAGGAAGAGACACAGGAUCCGCGUCCAUAACAUUUUCAAAAUAAAAUAUCCGCCAGCCGUGACUGAGUGACAACUAAGCCCCCAGGACAGCGCUGCUGUUUCCUUUCGGGGCGGACGUGUCCUACACUAACACCAAGUGAUACAGCUGUUCUACAGAUAAAAGUAACUGGACUCACGAUGUAGAAAAACGAUUGUGCGGUGUGUGUGCUACACCGGUCAACUUCCGGUUUUUCCCACUUGACUAUUUGUGCCUUGACACCUCUGGAAGGCAGACUCUGGAUGUUGACAACACACGGCCAAUGAAAACUACGCUGUCCCGGGACAUCAACCAAUCACGUGUGAGGAAGGGCGUGGUAAAAGACAGGUAUGCAUGUCCCCAUCUGUGGUGCUAAGAGCCCGACGCGUUGGUGUUCCAGCGCUGCACAUCUCAGAGAUCACCCGUGUCGUCGGAGGGGCUUGUCCGGUACCCGAAGUGCGAACUCCAAGCAGACGAGCAUCAGAUCAACUCGACGAUGUGAAGCUGGAUGUGGGCACAGCUGAGUCUGGCGUGUUGUCCCUCCUCCUCCACGGUGUCGCUCCGGUGUGAGAGCUGAUCCCGGCAAGGCGAGCGCGUCGUCCGAUUGUCUCCGCUGUCAUUCCCCUGGCUGAAGGUCACACAUCGGGCUGAAUCGCGAUUUGUAUGCAGCGAUACAGUCCAGCUGGUAUUAUUAAGGACGAUGACAAUUAAUGACACUAAUAAUAGGCUGACUUGUGAAAUACUGCCCCUUCUUUACUGUGUGCUGUAUGUCUUGUAAUUACUAUCUAGCUGUGAGCGAUUGUGGUCUUAAUAAUCCUCUGACGGAUGGUUUCUCCUAAAGCUUCCUCUCUGAUGGCUGUAGAGAUACCAAUGAGGAAGCAACUUCAUCCCUGUCAUGUUCACUGUUGAUUAUAUUAGAUACAUGUCUGCUGCAAAUAAGACAAAUAGGGGACAGCUAUUGUAAUGAAGGUGCAUUACCUGCCUUCGUCACACAUUUUUCAAACAGGACGCCUCAGUGUGACGGCAGCCCGGUAAUGAUGAACAGACUGAUGCUGAAGUGUGUGUGUGCGCGCUCGCGCGCGUGUGCUGAUAAGGUAAAAUGAACCUGAGCAUAAUCAAGCUAUUUCAGGCCACAUUACAAGGCGAUCGCGCCCCUGCUCAGACUCUAGCCUUCACGAUAGAGGGGGGAAUAAUCAGCCGGAUGAGAUAAAGGCGGUGAUCUAUCAUCGGGGCUGCAGGGCAGCAGGGAUUUUCCAAGCCGCCGGGGUACGGAUGGCCCCUUAUACUCCGAGAGGACGAUCCAUCAUUUAACAUACUAACAAGGCGAGGGAUUUUAACAUGAAAGAUAACGCAGGUGCGCUGUUAUCAGGUGCUCCCGGAGACCUCGGCUCGCGCUGAUGGGGAAAGCUCUCUUAUCUCCGGCCCGGGAGAAGGCUGACCUCGUGACACUGCGAGAGAGCAGCCCAAAAGAAAGUGUUCAACGCCGUAAAGUGAAAAAAUAUAGCAUCUAUAUUGUGUAAUUAAUGGACGGAUUAUAGGCCACGGUGAGAGUAUUAUUUCUGUGUGAGCCCAUGAAUUAUAAGGAUGAGAAUGUGAAGUUCUUGUUCAGUUAGAUAAUCAGACUGAAAGGACAUUUUUCUCAACUCAAUUCAUUGAGCCUGACAUUGUGUUCACGUCUCUCCUUCCUGAUCAGUAGAAAAAACAAAGUCUCUUUCCCAACACAGACGCUACCGAAGUUAAUGAGAGCAGCGAUCGUGCUGCCAGGCAAGAACGUCAAUCUGAAUAUACUGUACGUACUGUGAGGAAACUGACCGUCUGUAUGUUAGCGUGUGUCCUAUUCAUCCCAUCCACUUGAAACUUGGCAGUUGUUUCGCUGGUGCCUAAGGAAGUAACAUUCAAUAUGAAUACAUUUUUCAAUAAACAGCUGAAUAGCACUGUACUGCUCUACAGUACACAAUCAUCCAUUCACACACACAUUCAUACUGCGCUACUACAUAUAACGCUUCUUAUAUCACACAUUGAGGCUUGAGUGUCUUGCCCAAGGACACUUUGGCGCACAGAUUGGCUGUGGAUCGGACCCUCGGCCUUCUGGUUAGUUGGACAACCACCUGGACCUCCCCAACCCCCAGCUCCCCCCCUAUUGGUGAGCGGCCGGUGACCUCCGACCUGCGCAGAGUCGACCCACACAAGGCCCCUGGCCCUGACAGGCUCAGAGGCAGGGUGCUCGAAGAACGCUCCUCUCAGAUAGGUGGAGCUCUCAACAGGCUGUUCCAGCACCUCCUGGUUUCUGGCUGUGUCCCCAACCAGUGGAAGGAAUCCACCAUGAAUCCAAUUCCCCAAAAAGACACCUACUAAGGACCUGGAGGACUACCGACCAGUGGCUCCAUCAUAUGUGUUGUGUAAAUGUUAGGAGAGAGUAGCGUGUAGUCUGUCGAACAUGCUGUCAGACAAACUGGACCCACUUCAGUUUGCCUAUACGGGAAAAAACGCGGUGUCGAGGUUGCAGUUCUCCCACUUUUAGACUCUUUCAGUCACCAAACAUCUGGACUCUGCACACUCACACACUAGGAAAACCUCCUCACCACCAAAACCCUCCUGCAUAAUAAAUCAUUAUACUAGAAAUCAUUCCAGUAGAAUAAUCGGCUCACACCAAACCCUCCCUAUCUGAGCUGUACAACCGCUCUGUGACCAGGAAAGCCACCCUAAUCUCAGAGGACCCCUCCCACCCCCUCAACUGCUCUUUCCAGGUACUACCAUCGGGCAGACGGUACAAAGUCCCUCUGGCCCGGAAAAACAUUUACAGUCCAUUGCGCAUCUGCUGUAUGUGAAAUUUAAUGUUUUUUUAAUGUCAUACGUAUUAUCUGUCUAUCUAUCUAUCUGUCUGUCUGUUUGUCUUACCCGCUCCGUCUCUUUAGCCACAGCCAGUGGCACAUUUAAAAACGGAUUCUUCCGUGCAUGGUCCUGCAGCGCCCCGGGUCGGGCUUCACCGAAUAGCUACAGCAGCGGGGGCUCCGCUGAUUUAUGGCAGAUCACUCAAGAAAGCUGUAAUCAGCUUUACCACAGGCCGAGCACAUGGCAGAUUCGGGAUGCAAACACACGCCAAGCAGGCACUGUUUAGAACAGGCACUGCAUCAAUAAUGCUAAUUCUCGAAAAACAGCCAUUUUUUUACGUUCAGUGACAGAGUUUUGUUUGAGUUUUUACUUGUAAUCAUUGUUUCUAAAAUUCUUGUAGGAUUAGGGUUGGGAAACAUUUCCACCACCUUAACUUUCACAUCCAUACAUGCGUAAAAUACUUCACUAGCAAUGAGCACUGGGACUAGAUGUAAAUCAUGAGCUUUGAAUUGUAUUACCUUACUUGUGGAGCAGAACCUCAAAGUACUGGCUUAGUUAUGGAUAUCUAUCUACCCUGACUAUUACACACAUUUAUGUAAAUGUUGGCUGCCUGAUCUUGUGGGUAUGUAAAUAAUAUUUCAAGGACAUCCUUUGAGUGGCCUGAGGAGCUACUUGACUGGUGCUAUUGAGUUUCCCCUGUCUGCACCCGAUCAAUGCUAUCAAAACUGUUGCUAUCCUGUUCCGUUCAUCCUGUGGAUGGACUGACUUUUUCCAUAAGUCUUCCUUGGAAGAAAUACUCCCUGGCUCCCUUCCCCUCCCCUUUGCCUCUCAAGGACAGAACGGUGAGGAGCAGAUGCUGUGCCGCAACCUGAUCUAUAUUCUGGACAGGCAGUGUACUAUAUAAAGAAAGUGAUGGGGCUUUGUAAGUCUACCUGCCUCACUUUCCUCCAAAACUUCCCGAAGCCUUUCUUCACAGGCGAGCGUCAGAUAAGGCCGGCUGUAGGGAGAGGUGAAGAAGUCUGCGUUUACCAACACUGCUGUCGUCUCAGUGCUCACUGCUCCGACCCCUUCAAUUCUCCAUCUACUCAAUUGGUAUUGCAACACAUUUUGAUAUCAUCGUGUGUAAUAUCAGAUAGAACAUUUGGAAAAUCAAACCCAGUCUCCAAUUCUUUGUGCCGCAUUCACAGCGUAAGUGCAGGGUGAGCACGUUUCUGAGGAGAGAGUCAUGUUUUCUUCGCUUGUGUUCAGUGAUGCACGCCACGUCAGGCAAAAUUGUGAUUAGUGACAGUGACAUCCUUUAAAUCAGCUAACAACUGUAUGACCACUAGGUCAUAAUGUCACAGAUUCAAUGUGCUAAAACAUAAAGAAACAACAGAGAGAAUGACCUUUGAACACAAAGAAAAUUACAAAACAACGCUGAUAUCAAAAUAUGAACUGUUGAUAGUAAAGUCAGAUGACACAGUUAUUUAUCAAAUAUUUCACCGGUUCUGACGCGUCAUAAGGUCAAAGCUACAAAUCGAAGCAGUUGAAGAUUUUGUACCCAAUACCAACUUUCAUUCAACAGAGGUAGAAAGGGAAGACGACGACAGAAAUUGAUGUGAAUGGUCUGGCACAGUGUACAAGAACAUUGACUGUGGUUCACUAGGCCAAGGGUUCAACAACCACCUCAGUAGAGAUUCUAGGUUUAAAGUCUUGAGAAUGUUGAUGGAUUUUGUACGCAAUACCAACUUUCAUCCAACAGAGGUAGAAAGGGAAGACGACGAACAAUGUUACUGUGGCUGGUGUGGCACAAUGGACAAGAACACUUACUAAGGAUCAGUAAGUCGAGGGUUCAAAACCAACUCACUAUAGAUUCUCAAGCAAGGAUGAGCAAGUCAAUCAGGUCUCGAGUCUUA